UACAGAGGGGGCUAGCGUUGCUCGGAAUCACUGGGCGUAAAGCGCACGUAGGCGGAUUCUUAAGUCGGUGGUGAAAGCCUGGAGCUCAACUCCAGAACUGCCUUCGAUACUGAGAGUCUUGAGUCCGGGAGAGGUGAGUGGAACUGCGAGUGUAGAGGUGAAAUUCGUAGAUAUUCGCAAGAACACCAGUGGCGAAGGCGGCUCACUGGCCCGGUACUGACGCUGAGGUGCGAAAGCGUGGGGAGCAAACAGG
rnacentral:rRNA from 1 species